rnacentral:rRNA from 1 species
UACGUAGGGUGCAAGCGUUGUCCGGAAUUAUUGGGCGUAAAGAGCUCGUAGGCGGUCUGUCGCGUCGGCUGUGAAAUCCCGGAGCUCAACUCCGGGUCUGCAGUCGAUACGGGCAGGCUAGAGUUCGGUAGGGGAGACUGGAAUUCCUGGUGUAGCGGUGAAAUGCGCAGAUAUCAGGAGGAACACCGAUGGCGAAGGCAGGUCUCUGGGCCGAUACUGACGCUGAGGAGCGAAAGCGUGGGGAGCGAACAGG